rnacentral:rRNA from 1 species
UACGGAGGGUGCAAGCGUUAUCCGGAUUCACUGGGUUUAAAGGGUGCGUAGGCGGGCAGGUAAGUCAGUGGUGAAAUCUCCGAGCUUAACUCGGAACUGCCGUUGAUACUAUUUGUCUUGAAUAUUGUGGAGGUAAGCGGAAUAUGUCAUGUAGCGGUGAAAUGCUUAGAUAUGACUAAAACACCAAUUGCGAAGGCAGCUUACUACACAACGAUUGACGCUGAGGCACGAAAGCGUGGGGAUCAAACAGG